AAAUUGCAGAGCAACUAGUAUUUAAGCUAGCCUUGUUUCAUCACCAUUUCAUCAAUACAAGCUUAUAAUAACUCUUCACAUACAUUUUGCAAUCAAACAACUAAUCAAUCAAAAGAUGGAAGGCAAAACUUUGAUUCUAAGUGUGCUCCUAAUGAGUCUAUUCAUGGCACAAAUUCAAGUUGACGCAAAGAGCUGCUGUCCGUCCACCACUGCUAGAAAUAUUUAUAACACUGCCGCUUAACUGGAAGUCCCAGGCCAGUAUGUGCAAGUCUCAGUGGCUGCAAAAACAUUGGUGGGACGAAAUGUCCUCCUGGAUAUACCCAUGACAUUCUCGAAAACACAGGUGAUGCUGUCACUAAAUACUGCAAGGUUGGAUGCGUAUCCUCUGUGUGUGGUGCUUUAACCACUAUUCAGAACUUUGAUGCAAGUGAAGUCGUGAAUGAAGCGGUUGAAAAAUGUGCCAACGCAUGUUCUACAGUCUGCACCAAGGAUUCGAUGAAUGCAGUUGAAACUGCCUAGACAACUAUAUCUAUCCAUGAAGAUACCACAUACAUCUGUGGGUGAAGUGUGGUCAUCUUUUACAAUGUUGUUUUCAUGUUUUCAAUAAUUGUCGUGUAUGUGACAAAACAUUUAAGAUUCUUGCACUCAUUUGUGUAUGUAUGUAGAAGGUUGUCAAUCUAUAGAUUGUAUAUGCCUUCUACUUCUUAUCUUUUAAAUAAUGAAUAAUGUGUUCGUAAUA